rnacentral:rRNA from 1 species
UACGGAGUGUGCAAGCGUUACUCGGAAUCACUGGGCAUAAAGCGCGCGUAGGCGGGUAUUCAAGUCGGUUGUGAAAUCCCCCAGCUCAACUGGGGAACUGCAUCCGAUACUGUCUGUCUUGAGGACGAGAGGGGAGAGUGGAACUUCUGGUGGAGCGGUGAAAUGCGUAGAUAUCAGGAGGAACACCGGUGGCGAAGGCGGGUCUCUGGGCCGAUACUGACGCUGAGGAGCGAAAGCGUGGGGAGCGAACAGG